rnacentral:rRNA from 1 species
UACGUAGGGGGCUAGCGUUGUCCGGAUUUAUUGGGCGUAAAGAGCGUGUAGGCGGCCAGGCAGGUCCGGUGUGAAAACUCGAGGCUCAACCUCGAGAGGUCGCCGGAAACCAUUUGGCUAGAGUCCGGAAGAGGAGAGUGGAAUUCCUGGUGUAGCGGUGAAAUGCGCAGAUAUCAGGAAGAACACCAAUGGCGAAAGCAGCUCUCUGGGACGGUACUGACGCUGAGACGCGAAAGCGUGGGGAGCGAACAGGAUUAGAUACCCCAGUAGU